GAUGUUAAAUGAUCUGUCUUUUAAUUUUUUUUAACAAAUCAAUAGAUUGAAAUGAAAUGAAAUCUUUCCAACAUCAGGAUCUUUUAUGGGACACAGAAUUGAAAGAUAACCAAGAAGCCAUAUGUUUACCGAUAGUUCCUGACAUACUUCCAUUUGUCCCAGCAAAGUGGUGACUCAGCUUUAGAUUUUACUCUGAACUUUAAGGAAGAUAUCCAAGGAUGCAUCUACACUGUUGAAUGAAUGCUGUUUCAACACCACUUUUGUUGCCAUGUUUCAAUGCUAUGGAAUCCUGGAUAUUGUAAGAUGCAGAAACAUUUUCAGAAUUGAACAAAGUUUUUGAAAGAUUUAUUCAACAUGUAGAUUAUGCAAUGUGGGCUUCUUUCCAUGAGGACGUCUGGGAUAAAAUAGUCUUCAGAUUCUAAUGUAAAGUCUGAAAAGCAUAUUAAGAAAUGCAAAAACUAAAAAAAAGAGUCCAUAUCUUUCUUUGCAGAAUGUUGAUAUUUUAGCAUUACCAGGUCUUCAGCUUUCUCUACCCAAGUGUAAGAACUUCCUAUUUUGGCAUCAGGAAUUCAUGAAUAGGUUUCUCCUUGUUUUGACAUUAUUUGGCACUACAACUGGUUCAUGACACUACAACUGGACCUCACUGAACUACAACUCCUAGGAUUCCAUAGCAUUUAGCCACUGAAGUUAAAGUGGUGUCAAACUGCAUUAAUUCUGCAGUAUAGAUGCACACCAGUUUCUGAAGCUAUUUCAAGGCUAGGUUUACUAUCUUAGCACUUUCAUAUUCAGGCUAAAACCCAGAGCCGGUUCAAUGAUAAGGGAGUUGCCUACUGCUACUACUUUCUAUAAAGAAGUAAUUCAUGUUAGUCAAAAGCAUUUGUAGGUCCAUGUUUCUAGAUGAGCAUCAAAACCUCCCCAAACAGGUUGCACUUUCCUGAUCUAUUUCCCUCUUUCAUAACAUGGCUUCCAAAGCGAAGGAACGAUGUCUUCGGAAAUUAACACUACGCAGGCGCCUGCAAGAAUAGGCUUUCUUUGUCACGGAGGGCAUAACAUUAUGUGCUGUAGUUAUUUUAUUUUAUUUUUUUAACCAAAAUAUACAUUCUAAAUUAGGCUUGUGGAGGCAUGCUUCAUCUUUAAUUCAUCACUCUCAGCUGAAAGAGAUUAGCAAUGUCUAGCACGCAGCCCCUCGUAUGGUGCUGACCUCAUCAAGUAUGGCCUGAAAUUAAUUAGCCUCAUUCAUUCCAAAUGGAGAGGGGGAGAGAGAGGGGGGAAAAGAGACGAUAAUGGAGCUGCAUUUUUAAACAUGACCAUUGCAAAUUGCACACAGUGUGUUUAAAAGCGUCCCACCUCCUGUUUGGGAAUCGUCUAAAUGAAGGUACUUUCGAGCUCUUGUGUUAUUAUGUCGAAAUGAGCAAGAGAUCAAGGGACUCGAGGAACGCCAUGAUAUGGUGUUGAUGUUGAUCCAAUAAUAAUAUUUUUAAAAAAGAAGGAAAGAAAGAAAAGCCUUGGGAAAUUAUUAGUGAGAAAUGAAAGCUGUCUCUGCCAUCAUUGGUUUAAUUAACACAGGUCACACACCCAGAAGUUUCAUCUAAUUUCUGAUGGGCCACCAUCCGUUGCAGAUGAGCUUUGAUCAUCUCAGUUGACCAGCGUAAUUUAAACUAAAGAUAGGGCAACUUCCACAAGUUAUUGGUGACCACGCUGGGCUUUCCAGAAACCACCAGAAACCAUCAAAGUUUCGACCAAAGGCCAUGCCUCGUGGAAGAAGAGCCAUGAUGGGACUGAAAAUGGAAGCUGCACACGCCUGCCCAAAUUUCAAUUGCCUCACAUAGUAAGUCAAGCAGGAAAUUUGCCACCGUCACCAAAGUCUUCCAAUCCUGCAAUAAGGAGCAGCAGCUGCUGCAAGUGACAAGUGGUUUGUUCUCCUAUCAAUCAGGUCAGUGUAGAUUGAUAUAUCACUGGUGCAAGAAAAAACUCCAACAUGAAUCCCACUUAUGAUUGUCACACUGGAAAUAACUAAAGGUAGUAGAUAGAAACAUCCCAAUUGACAGGAGAACAGACCUCUAUCACUUGCAGGAGCUGCUGCCACAUAAAGCAGAAUGGGGACCAGGAGCCACUAUUUCAUUAUGUAGCUAAUCUAGGAUCUUGGUCAUUUAAAAAUAACUAUAAAUUAAAAUGCUGAUUGUAAUCUGUUUUGAGCAUUUCCCAUAAUGGGAACAUAUAAUUUAUAAUUGAAAAAAAUAGACACAACAACAGUAGAUUUCGGAAAACUGAUUCUUCAGACAUCUGGGCCUUCCAACUUCCUGUCAAUGUAGACAGCAUUAUUACUAGGGAUUAUAUGGUGGCUUAAGACUUCCCCACCAUUGCCCUAUGAUGAACUUGAGGUUAAUACUGUCAUGGCACACAUUCUGCUACUUUUUGGCAGAGUGUUACGUCUGAAACAUUCAGAUUCUCUUUCCCUUGUCAUUCAUAAUGAUAAAAUAUCUGGCACAGUAAACAAUUGCUGCUUUCAAAGUUCAUGUCACCAAGAUGACAUGGGUGUGUGUGCUCAAUUUAAGGCUCUGAGCUCAGAUUAUUUGAGACAGUAUGCAACUAUCCAGCUGCAAUAUAUCUCUCCCUGACUCAGCUGUCUACAGCCCACUCGGCAUCAUAAUCAUGUAAAUUAAAUACAAAUUUUAAAAAUUGUCCCCAUUAAAAUGAUCUAUUAAUGUUGUAAGGCUCCGGCACUUAUGGGGAACGACUGUAAUUGUGUGAUCUUGCCAUUGGCACAUCUUAAAAGACCUGGCAGAUCUUGAAGAUAUUUACACCUCUGGGAUUAAUUUUAUUGUAAGGAAUUAACUUUUGGCAAAGCACUGUUACUACUACCAUUAGUAAGGCGGCGGCAUGGGGGGGGGGUAGAGGGAAGCCGCUGUUAACAGCUGCUUUUAAAAUUAUGAUAUCGCUGGAGAAACAAUUGGAAUUGAAUAGAUUGCCAAAUCCACAAAGUAAGAAUCUGUUCCUUUCCUCAGCAUUACAUACUUUCCUUGGGGGAAGGAAAAGAGAUCUAAUUCUUCACUAAGUUUCUUAUGGGAGAUAGUGAUGAGUCAUCUGAGCAAUUUUCUUCCUGCCAUAAGGAAGUCUUUGUGUGCAUCUACAUUGUAGAAUUAAUGCAGUUUGGCACCACUUUAAGUACCAUGACUCAAUGCUAUGGGAUCCUGGGGUUGGUAGUUUAGUGAGGCAUCAGAGAGAAGGCUAAAGAAAAGACCUUCUAAAACUGCAACUGUCACGAUUCCAUAACAUUGAGCCAUGGCACUUAAAGUGGCAUCAAACCACAAUCAUUUUACUGUGUCGAUGCACCUCUUGAAAGCCACUCUGUUUUAGAAUGUAAUUCACAAUUCGGGACUUUUUUGCAGAAAAUUCACAUGUGGUUAUUUUGCACAGGAAGCAGCAUUUUCUGCAUUGGAAAGAGCAUGUCAGUAUUUCAAAUAGCAUGUCUUGCAUGGAAAAUAAUGUCCAAUAAUGUGUAAUGUUAUGGUGAAGCAUCCAUAUUUAUCUCAUCAGCCAUUUUAAUGCCAUACCUGGUUUGUUUCUUUGUGUGAAACAAUCCUGCGGUGCACAAGCUAUUUCAAUUCAAUCUCCAGUUCUCAUCACACUGGCCAUUGACCAUGCUUAUGAAACUGGUGAGCCUUUGUAGUCCAACGGCAUUGGACUGUCUAUGCCAGGGGUCUCCAAAUUAUCCUGUUUCCCUGAAAAUAAGACAUCUCCAAAAAAUAAGACCUAGCAGAGGUUUUGCUGAAUUGCUAAAUAUAAGGCCUCCCCCGAAAGUAAGACCUAGCAAAGUUUUUGUUUGGAAGCAUGCCCAGCGCCCGCCAAACAAAAGACCAGAGCAUGCAGGAUUGGUAAAUGUACAUAUGAGUUGUACAUGGAAAUAAUGGUAAUAACAAGAAAUUCUUGACAGGAGUCACAGUUUGUCUGGUUUGGUUAUAUUGAUUUGUGAUGAAAACUACUGUACAGUAUAUAAUAAAUGUUCAUUUUUUGUUCAACAAGAAAAUAAGUCCUAGCACAUCUUUGGGAGCAAAAAUUAAUAUAAGACACUGUCUUAUUUUCGGGGAAACACGGUAAAGCCCAGGGGCCAGAUGUGGCCCUCCAAGGUCAUUGGCCCACCCCUGGUCCGAAACUUUAGACUUAGGGUAACCCCAAGUUUGAAUGGACUUGAAGGCACAAAACAACAACACUCCUAAUGAACUUGACUCUCUCAUCAUGCAAAAGCAGGGCCACACUUCCCUUUGAAAUACAGUAAAAGCCCGCUAAAUCGAGUCCCGCUCGUCCAAGCGUCUGUGUAGACCGAGCCAAAUUCCCCCCCCCACCAGAUCCCGGUGCUGCCGGAACCCAGCCGGGUCAGUGAGUGAGCGAGGGACGGAGGGUGGGCUCUCUCUCUCGCUUCUCCACCAGGCCGGGCACCGGUUCUGCUGGCCCCAGCAUGGCGAAGGAGCCGAGGCACGGGUGGGCGGGUGAAGGAGGAGGGCCCCAAAGUUCCUCCUCGCUCACCCACUCGCUGGCUGGCUAGGUGCCCCGUGCGUAUUGCUAGGUAGAUAGCAAGCUAGCUAGCAACACGCACGGGGCACCUCCCAAGGGGCAAGCGCCGCAUGUGUGUUGCUAGGUAGCUUGCUAUCUACCUAGCAACACACACGGGGCACUUAGCCAGCCAGUGAGUGGGCCUAAAUGCCUACCAAAUGGAGAAUUUUCCUCUUCCUUCGGCAGGCGCUUGGACCCAGGGAAGCAAGAAGCCUGCCGCUUCCCGCUACCCUGGGUCCAAGCGCCCGCCAAAGGGGGAGGAAACUUUUCCCUUCGGUGGGCGCCUGGGCCUGGUAAUUCGAGUUAUCCAGUAAACCGAGAUGAGGUCCGCCUAUUUAACUCGAAUUACAGAGGUUCUACUGUACUAAUGUUGGUUUAUAUUGUUCUUCAUUUUAAAUAUUGUAUUGUUCUUUCAUACUUCUUGUACUACAAAUAAAAUAUGUACAGAAUGCUUAGCAAUUUGUUCAUUUUCCCCCAAACUAUAGUCUGCCCCCCCCCCCAAUAGUCUGAAGGACUGUGAACUGGCCUGUGUCUUAAAACACUCCCCCCAUCCUUAAUUUAGAUAAACUAAUGAUCUGACAUAGGAUAAGACAGAUUUUUAUGAUCCUAUAUCCCCACAAAGGGGCCCCUGGUGGCACAGUGCGUUAAAGCGCUGAGCUGCUGAACUUUCAGACCGAAAGGUCCCAGGUUCAAAUCCCGGGAGUGGAAUGAGCGCCUGCUGUUAGCCCCAACUCCUGCCAACCUAACAGUUUGAAAACAUGCCAAUGUGAGUAGAUCAAUAGGUACUGCUCUGGCGGGAAGGUAAUGGCACUCCAUGCAGUCAUGCCGGCCACAUGACCUUGGAGGUGUCUAUGGACUACGCCGGCUCUUCGGCUUAGAAAUGGAGAUGAGCACCAACCCCCAGAGUCGGUCACGACUAGACUUAACGUCAGGGGAAACCUUUACCUUUACCUUUUAUAUCCCCACAAAGAGGUUGUUUGACUUCACCUUUUGAUUCAUACCUUCAAGAAAAACAUUGUGGCAAUGAUGUGGUGCUCCUGUCCCCACUUUGCCAUCACACAACCUGCCGGUCCAGAUUUGCAGCAUAGUUUGCGGUUCCUAAAGCAAGACAAUUCCCCUCCUUCCUGCCCCCUGAGCAGAAACUGGAGUAAAGUUGAGCAGAGAUGCAUGUUUGUCAUUGAAGGGAGCCGAGAAGAAGGAAGAGGCGAGCGAUAAGAUCUCAGCCUGCAGUGCUUUGUUUAUGAGAACAUCCUCUGUGUGAUCUAUGCCUGCACUGCAUGAAAGGAUUGUGUCACCCCCCCCCCCCCCACAUAUUUUAAAUGCUGUGACUGUCAGGCAAAAAUGACAAUGAUGAACAAGUUUAUACAAAAUGCGGCGACUGGCCGGGUGUCUUUGCACAUGAUGCUUCUUCACUGGCAAGGUUUGCCAUGCAAAUAGGAAACCAGCCCUGUUCAAAAUCUCAUUUGCAUUACAAAUGCCCAGGCGAGCUCUUCUACUUUUGUCUUCUGUAUGUAAUGAGGAGGAGACCUUAACAGUUCAGGAGAGGCUCAAAGGUGGUCUGAGGAAAGAAGAUCUCUUUGCUGAAGUUUCACUUGUGCCAUGUAGUCCCCUAGGCGCUCAACAGAAAACCCCUGUAUCCUAAUGCCAGCCUUUUGUAGGCAAUAGAGAUAAUAGAGAUGUGCAUUUUUUUUCAUUAGUUCUCAUAAGUCGUUAUCAAAUUGGUUAAAUCCAUACUUAAGAGAUACACAUGGGUAUGGCCCAUGCCAAAAACUUAAGAAUAGAAAUGUAUCCAUCAAUUUUUCAUUUGCAUUUUGUCAAACUCUGAAGCCCCUCCCCCAAAGUCAGUUUCAUUUUCAGUCGAAGGAAGCAAAGCAAAGCCAAAAAGGCUGCCAUUCCUCAUUAAAUUAAUAGCCUUUCACCAUGUGGAGAGGGAAGCAGCAGGGAGAAAGUGGAGUUUGCUUAGAAAGAAAGAACUGGGAAGACUUUCUUCUCCCUUCUGCUCAACUCCUGAAUUUUUCCAGUAGAAGCAGCUGAUAACUUCAUAUCCAGAAUCAACUGCAUGGCCAUGACGCUUUGCCAAACAUCUCUCCCUCCCCUUAUUGUAUUAUAUUCUUCUCCAUUCCAUUGCAUUCUAUACCAUUCUUUUCAUUACGUACUCGGAAUAGUAUUAGGUAGGCAGCUCAUUUCUAAUAAAUGAUUUCUACAAUGGUAUUAACUGAGCUUGAUUCAGGGCAAUAUGGGGCAUUUAAAGUUUCCUUUAAAAAAUAUUUUAAAAGUAUUCUUAAUGUACUAAAAAGCAAAAAUAUACUAUUCUAGGAGUAAAAACAUGGUUUAUUACUAGCCUUAAUGAAAUAUAGACUUAUCAUAAAGGCACGUUAUAUUAUUCUUCUAUAUCUUCUGUUAACCAAGUGAUGACAUACUGCUUGGAAAUCCUGACUAUUAGUAUUACUACGACUACUAUUAUUGUUAUUAUUAUUUUAUUUUCCAACUGUCGUACUGGAACAACAAUGAUUGUUUAGUUUAACUUUAACAGUUUUUGGCAGUUCUUUGUUAGAGCAUUAUCAGUGUCAGCUGCUUCUAACCUAGCGAUUUUAUUCAAAGUGUUUAAUGCCAGUGCUAAUGCUUUUUGCUUUUUGCUGUGUUUCUUUUGCCAAGUACUUUUGCAUUUUUAUAUCGCCAUUUGUUCAGAUUUAUUUUUUCCCUUUUUUAUAUAAAUAUGGACACUUUA